CACCAUGAAGAUCCCACCAGUGAUGAUCAUCCUUUUGGCUCUGUGUAUCUAGUACAAUUCUGGAACCACUGUUCUGUCUUCCCACAAGAUCCAGCUGCCACCAUUAUUCUCUCAUAGCACAUUUAUUCAUCACAGGAAUAAAACACUGGUGGAAAUGAAUUGGAUGGAGAUCCUGGACAAUAGGCAUUUCCCACUACAUCUAUAUAAAUUUCAGAUGAAGCAAGUUAUG